rnacentral:rRNA from 1 species
AACGAACGCUGGCGGCAGGCUUAACACAUGCAAGUCGAGCGCCACGCAAGGGGAGCGGCAGACGGGUGAGUAACGCGUGGGAAUCUACCCAUCUCUACGGAAUAACGCAUGGAAACGUGUGCUAAUACCGUAUACGUCCUUCGGGAAAAAGAUUUAUCGGAGAUGGAUGAGCCUGCGUUGGAUUAGCUAGUUGGUGGGGUAAAGGCCUACCAAGGCGACGAUCCAUAGCUGGUCUGAGAGGAUGAUCAGCCACACUGGGACUGAGACACGGCCCAGACCCCUACGGGAGGCAGCAGUGGGGAAUAUUGGACAAUGGGCGAAAGCCUGAUCCAGCCAUGCCGCGUGAGUGAUGAAGGCCCUAGGGUUGUAAAGCUCUUUCACCGGUGAAGAUAAUGACGGUGACCGGAGAAGAAGCCCCGGCUAACUUCGUGCCAGCAGCCGCCGUAAAAC